rnacentral:rRNA from 1 species
CAGUCGCCACGGGAAUACAGAGGGUGCAAGCGUUAAUCGGAAUUACUGGGCGUAAAGCGCGCGUAGGUGGUUCGCCAAGUUGGAUGUGAAAUCCCCGGGCUCAACCUGGGAACUGCAUCCAAAACUGGCGAGCUAGAGUAUGGUAGAGGGUGGUGGAAUUUCCUGUGUAGCGGUGAAAUGCGUAGAUAUAGGAAGGAACAUCAGUGGCGAAGGCGACCACCUGGACUGAUACUGACACUGAGGUGCGAAAGCGUGGGGAGCAAACAGGAUUAGAUACCCCGGUAGUCCCUGUCUCUUAUAC